rnacentral:rRNA from 1 species
GAUGAACGCUGGCGGCGUGCUUAACACAUGCAAGUCGAACGGGAUCCAAGGGGUGCUUGCACUUUUUGGUGAGAGUGGCGAACGGGUGAGUAACACGUGAGUAACCUGUCCUUUUCUUUGGGAUAAGCAUUCGAAAGGGUGUUUAAUACCUUAUGUUCUGUCUGCCUCGCAUGGGGUGGGUGGGAAAGGCUUUGGCCGGAUUUGGGUGGGCUCGCGGUCUAUCAGCUUGUUGGUGGGGUGAUGGCUUACCAAGGCUUUGACGGGUAGCCGGCCUGAGAGGGUGGUCGGUCACAUGGGGACUGAGAUACGGCCCAGACUCCUGCGGGAGGCAGCAGUGGGGGAUAUUGCACAAUGGGCGAAAGCCUGAUGCAGCGACGCCGCGUGGGGGAUGGAGGCCUUAGGGUUGUAAACUUCUUUUGCUCUGAACAAGGCAUGCCAGUGGGUGUGUUGAGUGUAGGGGUGGAUUAGCGCCGGCUAACUACGUG